CUGCCACGGCUCUGUCAUCCAGGGCCAGUUUGAGGGUUCCGUCCUUACAGCCAAUGGGGCAUAUCAUGUAGAGCCCAUCCACAGAUACACCAGCCAGCCCUCACAACACCACUCAAUCAUCUACCAUGAGGAUGACAUAGGAAGUUCCGGUGUCCAGGUCGAAGAGAACAUCGGACAAUUCUAAAACCAGCUGCCUGCUCUAUCUCCCUGCCGACCACUUCUACUACAGGAAGUUCGAGAGCGUUGAAGCUGUUGUGGCUCAGGUCGCUGAGGCACUGUUCCAGCAGAUCAUCUGGCACUAUGGCCUUCCGGAGGAUAUCGUCUCCAAUCGUGGCCCUCAAUUCACAUCAUGUGAGAAAGAGCAGGCGGAAACAAUAGGCGGAUCGCCACCACAGUGAGGCUCCCGUGUUCCAUCCUGGUGAUCGCGUCUGCCUCUCCAUCAGGAACCUCCCGCUCCGUCUGCCCUGUAAGAUGCUGAUUCCCUGGUUUGUGUGGCCGUUCAAGGUCCUCCGGGAAGGUCAACGAGGUAAUUUACAUAUUACAACUCCGCACUAACUAUCGGAUCUCACCAUGUUUUCAUGUUUCCCUCCUCAGGCCGGUGGUUCCUGGUCCCCUGGUGGAUGCCGUCCCCCACAAAACCCCUCCGCCUCCCUUGGACAUUGAGGGGAGCCGUGCCUAUGCCGUCAGAUCACUCCGUCGUGGGGGUCGGCUCCAGUACCUGGUGGACUGGGAGGGGUACGGUCCAGAGGAGCGGUGCUGAGUUCUGGCGGAUGACAUUCUAGAUCCCCACAUCAUCCAAGAAUUUCACCUUCCCUACCGGACCGGCCUGCUCCUCGCACUUGGGGCUGUCCUCCUGGCCGGCGUCAUCCUGCGGUUGGAGCCGCGCGUUGGGGGGAGGUACUGUCACCUACUCCCGCUCCCCCUCUCCGGCACUCAACGUCGCCGGUCUACUAACCACCAGUCAUUACGCACACCUGACAACCCUCAUUACGCACACAUGCGUCCCAUCAUGAGGCACACCUGGAUUCCAUCAUUACCCUGAUUACUUCCCCUUUAUCUAGCACUCCUUUGU